CAUUCUUCACCAGUGUAGGUUAGGUUGGGCCUGGGUGAGUGAAUUCAACAACUGACUUGUCAAUUAAUGAGUGAGAUUAGUGAGGUCAAUUUGUGAAGGAGCAUUUAUCCAUUUCAAUUUAUUAGACCAUAAGCGUGCUAAUAGUGGGCUAACAGUUAGCAUGGUAAUACUAUGAGAAGUUCAGUUUUAAUUAAUCUGAUGUGAAGCUUCGCUUUUUAACAGAUUCAGUCCUGCUGAAUCCACAAGUUUAUUAUUAAGUGUUGUUAUUAUUUUGUUGGUAAUUAUUAUUAAGAAAUCCAUUUUA